CAGCAGGAUCUAGCAAUAGAUUGCUGGCGACCGGCGCACGGGUGAGUAACACGUAUCCAACCUGCCGAUAACUCGGGGAUAGCCUUUCGAAAGAAAGAUUAAUACCCGAUGGCAUAAUUAGACCGCAUGGUCUUAUUAUUAAAGAAUUUCGGUUAUCGAUGGGGAUGCGUUCCAUUAGGCAGUUGGUGAGGUAACGGCUCACCAAACCUUCGAUGGAUAGGGGUUCUGAGAGGAAGGUCCCCCACAUUGGAACUGAGACACGGUCCAAACUCCUACGGGAGGCAGCAGUGAGGAAUAUUGGUCAAUGGACGAGAGUCUGAACCAGCCAAGUAGCGUGAAGGAUGACUGCCCUAUGGGUUGUAAACUUCUUUUAUAUGGGAAUAAAGUUUUCCACGUGUGGAAUUUUGUAUGUACCAUAUGAAUAAGGAUCGGCUAACUCCGUGCCAGCAGCCGCGGUAAUACGGAGGAUCCGAGCGUUAUCCGGAUUUAUUGGGUUUAAAGGGAGCGUAGGUGGACAGUUAAGUCAGUUGUGAAAGUUUGCGGCUCAACCGUAAAAUUGCAGUUGAUACUGGCUGUCUUGAGUACAGUAGAGGUGGGCGGAAUUCGUGGUGUAGCGGUGAAAUGCUUAGAUAUCACGAAGAACUCCGAUUGCGAAGGCAGCUCACUGGACUGCAACUGACACUGAUGCUCGAAAGUGUGGGUAUCAAACAGGAUUAGAUACCCUGGUAGUCCACACAGUAAACGAUGAAUACUCGCUGUUUGCGAUAUACAGUAAGCGGCCAAGCGAAA
rnacentral:rRNA from 1 species